rnacentral:rRNA from 1 species
GACGAACGCUGGCGGCGUGCCUAAUACAUGCAAGUCGAACGCAGUGGGGACGGGUGAGUAACACGUGGGUAACCUCCCAUCAGAGGGGAUAACACUUGGAAAAAGGUGCUAAACCGAUACUGAUGGAUGGACCCGCGGUGCAUUAGCUAGUUGGUGAGGUAAAGGCUCACCAAGGCCACGAUGCCUAGCUGGUCUGAGAGGGGGAUCGGCCACACGGGGACUGAGCCACGGCCCAGACUCCUACGGGAGGCAGCAGUAGGGAAUCUUCGGCAAUGGACGCAAGUCUGAUCGAGCAAUGCCGCGUGAGUGAAGAAGGUUUUCGGAUCGUAAAGCUCUGUUGUUAGAGAAGCGUUAUCUAACCAGAAAGCCCCGGCUAACUACGUGCCAGCCGCCGCGGUAAUUC